rnacentral:lncRNA from 1 species
AUAGUUCCUUUGCAGAACCGCUACUUUGGUAGAUGUCAAAAAGUGAGUCUGAUAAUCCAUUGAGAAUGUGGCCCAUGCAGAUGUAAUCAUCAUUUUCCCACUUCUGUCUGUCUCUUGUUUCAGCAAUUCUUUCAUUUUCCCUCUCUGUUGGUCUUGUGGUAUUCAGAACAUACACCACUUUCAAGGUUGUGAGAAGGAAUUUCAUCUUUGUCUGCCAUCGGUUAAAAUGGCCUCCAUCAAACCUCUCCAAUUUCACAAAAUCAGAAGUCAUUUCUUUGAGUGAUGCAGCCAUUGAUUAAGAAAAAUAGAACCUAAAGAUUGUUGGAGAUUUUU